CUGAUUUUUAUACUCCUAGGCUAAUACAUAUUCAUUACUACUUCUAAAAGAGGCAGGGUUAUUAUAAUUGGUUUCCCGAAUCCGAAGUCCUCCCAGGGGUGCCUGCUUAUCAGUCUCUGUUAGUCUCUCGGGGGCUGCUCGGACAGGGAGGCUCAUAUUCUUCCUCCUUAUCUAGUGGUCUCUUGGCCGCAUGUCAGAAGUUACUGCACGGAAGAGCACAAGUC